GAAACAGAAGCAGCUGGAAGUCAAGAGGAGUGCUCUGUGGAGGAACGCACCCACAGGCACCAGCAUGCCGGCAGGCCACUGACUGGCAGAACCACACGGUGUUUGGCUGGGGCAGUCGGAGGAGCGCUCGGGCCGCCAAGCAGACCGACUCCAGGGGAAAACCAUCUCCCUUCUGGCUCCCCCAUCUGCUAAGAGCCGUGUAAGAUAUGCCUGCUUCCCCUUUGCCUUCUGCCAUGAUUGAAAGCUUCCUGAGGCCUCCCCAGAAGGCAAGCAGAUGCCAACAUCAUGCUUCCUGUACAGCCUGUGGAACUCUGCUUCUCACUGGUCCUGAGUGUGUCCUGGAAUAACAUGUGGGCUGUGCUAUCGAUGUUGUGUGUGUCACAGAUGCAAUUCAAAAUCCUAAGGCUGGAAAACCAUUACUUAAAAAAAAAAAAAAAAAAAAGACUAGCCAGCCUGCUUUCUGAGUAUCUACUUGAUAGCAAGAGGGCCUCAUGCUCAACCCCUCCAUGCUGGGAAGGAAGCAUUCCCCUCAUCAAGGCCUGCGGCUCUCUGGAAUAAGCAACGUGUGUUCCCUCUUGGGGGUCAGCCAAGGCCCUGAACAUCACAAACUCCUCCUCCACCUC
rnacentral:lncRNA from 1 species